GAUGUGAUGAUUCAGUGAUAGAAUGCUUGCCUGCCACGCGGGCAAUUCGGGUUCGAUUCCUGGCCAGUGCAUCA